GUGUAACUUCGGUUUCACACAUAAUAAUGCUGGAUUGAUACAGAGAAGGUUAGCAUGGCCCCUGCGCAAGGAUGACACGCACAAUCGAGACGCAAUCCUGUUUUGU